CAGAUUAAUAAUUAUUCAUCCAGUUCAAAGGAAGAAAAGAAAAACACAAAAUAGGCAAAACAAAAAAAAAGGCGGGGUUGAGGGCAAUUAGCCAGGGCUCGGUAGCUCACGCCUCUAAUCUCAACCCUUUGGGAGGAAGAAGCGGAUGGAUCUAUUUAACUGGGUCGCUUGAGCUCAGGAGUUUGAGACCAGCCUGGCCAACAUGGCGAAACCCUGUCUCUACCAAAAAUACAAAAAAUUAGCUAGGUGUGAUGGUGCAGGCCUGUGGUCCCAGCUACUUAGGAGGCUGAGGCAGAAGAAUCACUUGAGCCCGGGAGGUGGAGACUGCAGUGAGCUGAGAUUGUACCACUGCACUCCAACCUGGGUGACAAUGAGACUCCCGUCUCAAAAAAAAAAAAAAAAGCAAUUAGUAAAAUGCUAGAUUUAAACCUAAACGUGCCAAUAAACUUAAGCAGACUGCCAAGACAAAGGCUGUCCUAAUUUUUUUUUAAACCUACUUAUAAGACACAUUGUUAAUAAAAGGAUUACAGAAAGCUUGAAAGUAAAAGGAUAGGAAAAGAUAAACCAUACCAACAUUAUCCCAAAGAAAGGUUAAGUAGCUAUACUAAUGGCAGGCAAAGUAGACUUUAAGACAAAAGCCUUGUUUGGAAUACAGAUAUCUGAAAAUUCCAAAAGGAUUAAUUCAUAAGGAAGAUAAAGCAAUUUUAAAUGUAUAUGCACCUACUAUAAUAGCCUCAAAAUAUGUAAAAUAAAAAUAGAAAGGAGAGGCCGGUUGUGGUUUUAUAUUGAGAAAUAAAAAUAAAAUUCUAAGUCCCCAACUGAAUGGACCCCCUCUUAGCCAAGGGGACCCCAAAGAAACCUGGGAAACAGUUCAUAGCUAUGACGGGAUGAGAGGUCCAACAUGCCUCAUUAUACCUACUCCCUCACCAAAUGCCAUUAGGCUUUCCUCCCCAAGGGCUAACCAGAAAGCAGCCCUUUCAAGACUCCACAUUGAUAAUGUCGAUUACUAGCUUAUCUCCCCAGGGAGAGAACAAAGACAAGAUUAAUCAGUCCUUCACCUCUCUGCUUCCUCUAUUCCUAUUUCUUCAAAUGUUCACCUUACCUUAUGUAAAAUGUAGAUUUGCUGGGCACUAACUAAAGUCUCAUAAGUCUGUAAUCAUUCAUCUCACUGCCACCCUCACCCUCCUCAGACUUUUAAAGGAAAAUGUAUAAAUACUAAACCUCCCGAGAACCUCUUUGGAAAAAAAUAGGCACAGAUACAUCCGUGAAACAAGUUUUUACAAGUUUUUUUUUCCACCGGGCAUGCCCACAAGCUAGCUCAAUAAACCUCGAUGACUAAGACUUAGGUCUCAGUCACUUAUUUUGGUUGUCGAUAUUUAUCCAAGUUGGGUUCAAGACCAUAGGCUUGUUGUGUUUCUCCUGUUGUAGCAAAUCCUCAGCCAUUUUCAUUGACUAUUACCUCUCUGAAUUACUUUACCAUUUUCCUCCCUUGCAUACACUGCUCCAGCCACAAGGGCUCUUUACUGUUUAUUGAAAGGACCAGUCUUGUUAUUCCUUUGCUUGGAAUUCUC
rnacentral:lncRNA from 10 species